AAUGAACGCUGGCGGCAUGCCUAACACAUGCAAGUCGAGCGGCAGCACAGUAAGAUCUUUCUCUUACCGUUGGCGAGUGACGGGCGGGUAAGGCAUGCAUCAGAAUCUUAUUUGUCUGGGAUAAUAUCGGAGGGAAACUGACGCUAAUAGCGCAUACGUCCUACGGGUGAAAUCAGUAGAGCUUCGGACUUUUCCCGAUUCAUUUAGACGGUGUCGGAUUAGCUAGUUGGCUUGGUAAAGGCACACCAAGGCGACGAUCCGUAGCGGAUCUGAGAGGAUGAUCAGCCACACUGGAACUGAGACACGGUCCAGACUCCUACGGGAGGCAGCAGUGGGGAAUCUUCCACAAUGGGCGCAAGCCUGAUGCAGCAACGCCGCGUGGGUGAAGAAGGCCUUCGGGUCGUAAAGCCCUGUUGUUGGGAAAGAACAGAUGCAGGUUAAUCUACCGACGUUCUGACGGUACCUAAACAAUAAGCCCCGGCUAACUUCGUG
rnacentral:rRNA from 1 species